UACGUAGGGUGCGAGCGUUAAUCGGAAUUACUGGGCGUAAAGCGCACGCAGGCGGUUGGAUAAGUUAGAUGUGAAAGCCCCGGGCUCAACCUGGGAAUUGCAUUUAAAACUGUCCAGCUAGAGUCUUGUAGAGGGGGGUAGAAUUCCAGGUGUAGCGGUGGAAUGCGUAGAGAUCUGGAGGAAUACCGGUGGCGAAGGCGGCCCCCUGGACAAAGACUGACGCUCAGGUGCGAAAGCGUGGGGAGCAAACAGG
rnacentral:rRNA from 1 species